rnacentral:snRNA from 1 species
AUUGAAUAAGCCAGUGAUAUC